GUCGGGAAUAUUGCGCAAUGGAGGAAACUCUGACGCAGUGACGCCGCGUGCAGGAAGAAGGUUUUCGGAUUGUAAACUGCUUUAGAUAGGGAAGAAAAAAAUGACAGUACCUAUAGAAUAAGCUCCGGCUAACUACGUGCCAGCAGCCGCGGUAAUACGUAGGGAGCGAGCGUUAUCCGGAUUUAUUGGGUGUAAAGGGUGCGUAGAUGGAUAAACAAGUUGGUUGUGAAAUCCCUCGGCUUAACUGAGGAAUUGCAACCAAAACUGUAGAUCUUGAGUACUGGAGGGGAAAGCGGAAUUCCUAGUGUAGCGGUGAAAUGCGUAGAUAUUAGGAAGAACACCGGUGGCGAAGGCGGCUUUCUGGACAGAAACUGACAUUGAGGCACGAAAGUGUGGGGAGCAAACAGG
rnacentral:rRNA from 1 species